GACGAACGCUGGCGGCGUGCCUAAUACAUGCAAGUUGAGCGCUGAAGGUUGGUACUUGUACCGACUGGAUGAGCAGCGAACGGGUGAGUAACGCGUGGGGAAUCUGCCUUUGAGCGGGGGACAACAUUUGGAAACGAAUGCUAAUACCGCAUAAAAACUUUAAACACAAGUUUUAAGUUUGAAAGAUGCAAUUGCAUCACUCAAAGAUGAUCCCGCGUUGUAUUAGCUAGUUGGUGAGGUAAAGGCUCACCAAGGCGAUGAUACGUAGCCGACCUGAGAGGGUGUGCGGCAACAUGGGGACGGGACCCGGGCCCAACUCCCUGGGGGCGGCACCAGGAGGGAAUCUUGGGGAAGGGAAGAAAGUCUGACCGAGCAGCGCGGGGGGAGUGAAGAGGGUUUUCGGUUCGUAAAACUCUGUGGGUAGAGAAGACCGUGGGGGGGAGUGAAAAGCUCAUCAAGUGACGGUACCUACCAAGAAGGGGACGGCUAACUACGUG
rnacentral:rRNA from 1 species